GAUGAAGAACGUAGCGAAAUGCGAUACGUAAUGUGAAUUGCAGAAUUCAGUGAAUCAUCGAAUCUUUGAACGCACAUUGCGCCCGCCAGCACUCUGGCGGGCAUGCCUGUUCGAGCGUCAUUUCAACCAUCAAGCCCCAGGCUUGCGUUGGAGCCCUGCGGCUGCUGCAGCCUCCUAAAAGCAGUGGCGGGCUCGCUAUCACACCGAGUGCAGUAGAUUACUCUUCGCUCAGGGCGUGCAGCGGGUUCCGGCCGUGAAACCCCCUACUUUUAAAGGUUGACCUCGGAUCAGGUAGGAAUACCCGCUGAACUUAAGCAUAUCAAUAAGCGGAGGA
rnacentral:misc_RNA from 1 species